AAAUUACCCAAUCCUGACACAGGGAGGUAGUGACAAGAAAUAAAAAGCAAGUCUCUCAGAGGCGCUGCGUUGGAAUGAGUAGAAUUUAAAUCUCUUUACGACCAUCAAUUGGAGGGCAAGUCUGGUGCCAGCAGCCGCGGUAAUUCCAGCUCCAAUAGCGUAUAUUAAAGUUGUUGCGGUUAAAAAGCUCGUAGUUGGAUUUCUGUCUAGGGUGGCCGGUACCCACUAUGUGAAGUAUCUGGUUCAGUCUGGGCAUCCUCUUGGGGAUCGUUCCUGUGCUUGAUUGCAUGGGGCGGAAUUCAAGACUUUUACUUUGAGGAAAUUAGAGUGUUCACGGCAAGCUUUCGCUUUGAAUACAUUAGCAUGGAAUAAUGAUAUAGGGCAUAAGUUCUAUUUUGUUGGUUUCUAGAACAUAUGCAAUGAUUAAUAGGGAUAAUUGGGGGCACUCGUAUUAACGCGUCAGAGGUGGAAUUCUUAGAUUGCGUUACGACGAACUACUGCGAAAGCAUUUGCCAAGGAUGUUUUCAUUGAUCAAGAACGAAAGUAUGGGGAUCGAAGACGAUUAGAUACCGUCGUAGUCUAUACCAUAAACUAUGCCAACUAGAGAUUGGAGGUCGUUUUUUUUAUGACUCCUUCAGCACCUUAUGAGAAAUCAAAGUUUUUGGGUUCCGGGGGGAGUA
rnacentral:rRNA from 1 species